UGCCAGCCGCCGCGGUAAUACGGAAGGUGCUAGCGUUGUUCGGAAUCACUGGGCGUAAAGAGUGCGUAGGCGGUUUGUUAAGUUAGUUGUGAAAGCCCAAAGCUUAACUUUGGAAUUGCAAUUAAUACUGAUAGACUAGAACAUAGUAGGGGAUAGCGGAAUUCCUAGUGUAGGGGUGAAAUCCGUAGAUAUUAGGAGGAACACCAGCGGCGAAAGCGGCUAUCUGGGCUAUUGUUGACGCUGAGGCACGAAAGCGUGGGGAGCAAACAGGAUUAGAUA
rnacentral:rRNA from 1 species